GUCUGCUCAUUGGCCGAGAGGAGGGAAGGAGAAGACUAGGCGAUAGAGGAGUCACUGGGGUCUCCUGGGAAUGGUUAAUAUUUGAAGCAUAUAAGGUUUAUUUUUGAGGCCUCUGUGUGUUUGUUCAGUGGCUAAUGAGUAGAACUGGCAGCAGGCGGGCAGCUAGCUUAGUGGUCGUAGUAAACGGGAGCUAUGUUACCUUCACUGCAUUUAGGAGCGCCCGGUGAGGAGAGCUGAUGUACGUAGUGGUGGACUAUUUUUGUCGGCUGUAUCGACUCAACCAUUCAGAGCCUGGCACUCAUGGACAUGACCCUGGGCCAAGAACAUGUAUGUAAAGCGCUGCACGGCCACCUCUCUCUCCAUACACGUUUGACAUACUCAGACACGACAGACUUCUUCCAGAUGAGGUUUAAGAUGGAGACUCCGACAUCAUCAAAUCUGUUGUUCUGCCCCUGAACAGGCAGUUAACCCACUGUUCCUAGGCCGUCAUUGAAAAUAAGAAUUUGUUCUUAACUGACUUGCCUCGUUAAAUAAAGGUCAAAUCAAAAAAAAUCAUUGGAGGACAAGAGGGAAGGAGGAGACCAAGUACCGAUGACCUGUGUUGAGAGCUGGGUUUACCAACAUCAGCAAAUCAAUAUUUUUUAUACCAGAGUCGUUCUUGAAUUAUGGUGGCAUUUGGGUAUGGUGUAAUUAAAAGCAACAUUCUUUCUAGAUUUGUAUUUAUUGAAAUGUAUUGACCAUUAGGAUAACAUUGUGCCACCAUUAGGAGUCGUAACACCAAUGAGAAUUUUGUUUAUUGAGGAUUUUCUUAAAUCGGAGGCCACCGAUACUUAAAUCUAAGAUCAUUAACCCAUAAAAUAGUUGACUAAAGGGAUAUGAUUAAUAAUUGAGCUCAUAAUGUUAUUUCCCUUUUUAAAUUGACUAACCCCAAGUGACACUGGAUUCAGACACACCACAUUAGCAAUGGUAUCCUCAAAUGUAUGACAUAAUAAAAAAUAGUGUGAUUAGCUCACAAUUGUCUUUAAUAAAGACGUCUCCCCCGAUGUUUUCCACUGGAGGGAAUGGUU